rnacentral:rRNA from 1 species
UACGUAGGUGACAAGCGUUGUCCGGAUUUACUGGGCGUAAAGAGCGCGCAGGCGGUCGUUCAAGUCGAGUGUGAAAGCCCCCGGCUCAACUGGGGAGGGUCACUCGAUACUGAUCGACUCGAAGGCAGGAGAGGGUAGUGGAAUUCCCGGUGUAGUGGUGAAAUGCGUAGAUAUCGGGAGGAACACCGGUGGCGAAGGCGGCAUCCUGGACCGGCAUUGACGCUGAGGCGACGAAAGGC